GGGAAGGUAGCUCAGUGGUAGAGCUCUUGCCUUGCAUGCAUGAGGUCCUGGGUUCCAUUCCUCAGCACCA
rnacentral:tRNA from 1 species